rfam:Astyanax mexicanus chromosome 14, whole genome shotgun sequence.
CAGAAACAUUUCUGUAAGUGGCUCUGGAUAAGAGCAUCUGCUAAAUGCCACAAU